AUUUAGGUAGUUUAAAAAAGAUUUUGAUUUGUGGUGUCAAAGAUAUAAAUAUAUUUAUCCUAGAUC
rnacentral:tRNA from 1 species